rnacentral:rRNA from 1 species
GAUGAACGCUGGCGGCGUGCCUAAUACAUGCAAGUCGAGCGAACAGACGAGGAGCUUGCUCCUCUGACGUUAGCGGCGGACGGGUGAGUAACACGUGGAUAACCUAUCUAUAAGACUGGGAUAACUUCGGGAAACCGGAGCUAAUACCGGAUAAUAUAUUGAACCGCAUGGUUCAAUAGUGAAAGACGGUUUUGCUGUCACUUAUAGAUGGAUCCGCGCCGCAUUAGCUAGUUGGUAAGGUAACGGCUUACCAAGGCAACGAUGCGUAGCCGACCUGAGAGGGUGAUCGGCCACACUGGAACUGAGACACGGUCCAGACUACUACGGGAGGCAGCAGUAGGGAAUCUUCCGCAAUGGGCGAAAGCUUGACGGAGCAACGCCGCGUGAGUGAUGAAGGUCUUCGGAUCGUAAAACUCUGUUAUUAGGGAAGAACAAAUGUGUAAGUAACUAUGCACGUCUUGACGGUACCUAAUCAGAAAGCCACGGCUAACUACGUG